UACGAAGGGGGCUAGCGUUGCUCGGAAUCACUGGGCGUAAAGCGCACGUAGGCGGAUUGCUAAGUCAGGGGUGAAAUCCUGGAGCUCAACUCCAGAACUGCCUUUGAUACUGGCGAUCUCGAGUCCGGGAGAGGUGAGUGGAACUGCGAGUGUAGAGGUGAAAUUCGUAGAUAUUCGCAAGAAUACCAGUGGCGAAGGCGGCUCACUGGCCCGGUACUGACGCUGAGGUGCGAAAGCGUGGGGAGCAAACAGG
rnacentral:rRNA from 1 species